rnacentral:misc_RNA from 1 species
CAGAUGACCAAGGUAGCACUCCGUUGACAAUGUCUGAAAGCAAAUUAUGCAGGUCAUUUGCUUGAAUACUAGAUACAAAUACUUUAACAAAUCCCAGAGCAGCUUUUGUAACUUCGACAUCUUUACUCUGCAGCAGAGUCAGAACGGAAGGGACCAGAUCAGGGACUGAGAGACAGAUAUUGACAUCACUAUAAACCAGAACAGAAAGUGCAGAGACUGCUCCACUUUUUAUAUGCGGUGAUGAACCAAAAAGGUAAGCUAUAAUCAUAUCAACGAACUUCUUAUAAGAUUCAUCCGACUUAGCAGAUGAAGAGUCUCUCAAG